GUUAUUUCAUGUGAUGUCUGUGAGGCUACUUCGCGAGUAGUUCCUAGAGAAGAAUGGGCGGCCACACUUUAUGUCGGUCUGCCUCAUGUCUAAAUAGCAGCGUGUUCCGUGAAGGUGUCGCGGACCGGAUUAAAAUAGCCUAGUCAGCGAAUCAACAAUCAGAGAAAACUGCGCUGAGAACGUUGUAGACCAACGUGAUCUCACGAGAUGGCGUAAAAUAGCACGCCACUUUUAAAGCAAUUUAGCGUGUCAUGUAUACGCCUUUCAGUCUUUUAGCGUGUUUUUUCACGCCCAUUGUGGAUCAGCCUGUUACGGCGUGUCAUUUGACGAACUAGUAAAAAAAUAUCAACCCAGCUUCCAUUCAGCUUGGAGGAAAAUUGGAGGGAAAUGUCAAGAUGCAAGCAAGAACAUCAAAACGACUCUCAAAAUUUAGAGAGAGGAGUUUGAGCUGGGCGGAGGCCACAAGGAGAAAUCGUUAACGUUUCCCAUGUGGUAAACGAUGCGCAUAUCAUGGUGGAAAAACUAAAGGCCCUGGGGAUGAGGCCCCUACUUCUUACCGGGGCCUAUUCCAAUACUAGCCAGGUCUGGGGACAGAAUGUGUGUUCCCAUAUGACCUCCCAGACCUGGCUAAGAACAUAAUCAAACAGAUUCAGUUUCUGUACAGAAACCUGUUAGAGGGAUGGACUCCACCAGGAGAGGAACCAGCAAAAAAAAACAGACAGGAGGCAGGUGAGGAGGCAGCCGUGGAGGCAGAGGAGGAGAGGUCCGUGGAGGCAGAAGUAGCCAUGGAUGCAGGGGAGCCAGAGGGGGCAGAGGAGUGUGAGGAGGUAGAGGAGAGAGAGGCAGGAGAGCAAGAGGA